GAAAAUAGAAGAUCUAACUAAAAUAAUUCUUGUAGGGUUUUUCUAUAAUAUAACAAUUAUUAUUAAAUUAAUUUUAGUUAGGGGUGAAAGACCUUCAAUUCUGUUAUAUCUGGAUUUAUAUUAAAUAUAUGUAGUAUAGGAUUAAUUCACAGAUUUAAAAUGUUAAGAUUUUAAAUAAUUAUUAAAGAUUUGCUUAAUACUUAUAGAAUAAGUGUUAAUCCUCUUAUCAAAUUUUACUUUUAUAAUUCUUUUAAGUUUAAUUAAUAAUAAUAAUAUAAUAAUUAAUAUAAUCUCUUAUUAUUUUUAUAAUGUUUAGAUUAGUAAAAAUAGUUUAAUUUAAAGUUAGGAACUCGGCAAAAAUAUUCUUCGUCUGUUUAACAAAAACAUAGCUUAACGUCCAUCAAUUAAUGUUAAGUAAUUUCUGCCCGGUGAUUAAUUUUUAACGGCCGCAGUACCUUGACUGUGCUAAGGUAGCAUAAUAAAUUGGCUUUUAAUUGGAGUCUGGUAUCAACGAAAUGUGGGAGAAUAACUGUCUUGUUUUAAAUGAUUUAAAGUUAUUUUAUAAGGUGAAAAAACCUUAAUUAUUAUAUAUAGACAAGAAGACCCUUAGAAUUUUUAUUAAAUAAGUUUUUUAUAAUUUAAUAAUUUUUGUUGGGGCGACAAGGUAACAUAUAACUUACCUUUUUAUAUAUUACUGGUCAGUUUUUUAAUAGAAAGAUUAAAUUACCUGAGGGAUAACAGCAUAAUAUUAGUUUGAUUGUGACCUCGAUGUUGGAUUAGGAAAAAUAAUAGCUAGUAGUUAUUAUAUUUGGUUCUGUUCGAACUAUGAUACCUACAUGAUCUGAGUUCAGACCGGUGUAAGCCAGGUCAG
rnacentral:rRNA from 1 species